GACGAACGCUGGCGGCGUGCCUAAUACAUGCAAGUAGAACGCUGAAGCUUGGUGCUUGCACCGAGCGGAUGAGUUGCGAACGGGUGAGUAACGCGUAGGUAACCUGCCUGGUAGCGGGGGAUAACUAUUGGAAACGAUAGCUAAUACCGCAUAAGAGUAGAUGUUGCAUGACAUUUGCUUAAAAGGUGCAAUUGCAUCACUACCAGAUGGACCUGCGUUGUAUUAGCUAGUUGGUUAGGUAACGGCUCACCAAGGCAACCAUACAUAGCCGACCUGAAAGGGUGAUCGGCCACACUGGGACUGAGACACGGCCCAAACUCCUACGGGAGGGAGCAGUAGGGAAUCUUCGGCAAUGGACGGAAGUCUGACCGAGCAACGCCGCGUGAGUGAAGAAGGUUUUCGGAUCGUAAAGCUCUGUUGUACGAGGAGAACGAGUGUGAGAGUGGAAAGUUCACACUGUGACGGUAACUGACCAGAAAGGGACGGCUAACUACGUG
rnacentral:rRNA from 1 species